AGACGACCCUGACAGGCGGGCCCCGCCUGUCAGCGGCUCAGCGUGGGCGCGCGGAACGGGGUUGCUUCGGCCCAAUUUGGCCGGGCCGGUCCGGUUCUCCCUUUUUGUUUCUUUUAGCCCUUUUCUUUUUCUGUUUUUCUCGAUUCUUUGAUAUCUUUUGAUUUUGAACUCCAAAUUGGUCCAAAUAAAUUCCAAAAAAUUUGUAAAAUCAUGUUUUACCAUGAUUCAACUCUUGGGAGUAAUUUCCUCUCAAAAUAAAAUACAUAAAAAUACAUCUGCCCUAUAAAUGCCUUUAGGGCUAUAUAACUAUUUGAAUAAAAUAUUUUUCAACUCCACAUAAUUAUCCAAAAAUUAUGGGAUAUCUUAUUUAUGCAAUAAACGCCUUUUAUAAGUAAACCUUAUUGGUUUGA
rnacentral:lncRNA from 1 species